GCUAAUACAUGCAAGUCGAGCGAAUGGAUUAAGAGCUUGCUCUUAUGAAGUUAGCGGCGGACGGGUGAGUAACACGUGGGUAACCUGCCCAUAAGACUGGGAUAACUCCGGGAAACCGGGGCUAAUACCGGAUAACAUUUUGAACCGCAUGGUUCGAAAUUGAAAGGCGGCUUCGGCUGUCACUUAUGGAUGGACCCGCGUCGCAUUAGCUAGUUGGUGAGGUAACGGCUCACCAAGGCAACGAUGCGUAGCCGACCUGAGAGGGUGAUCGGCCACACUGGGACUGAGACACGGCCCAGACUCCUACGGGAGGCAGCAGUAGGGAAUCUUCCGCAAUGGACGAAAGUCUGACGGAGCAACGCCGCGUGAGUGAUGAAGGCUUUCGGGUCGUAAAACUCUGUUGUUAGGGAAGAACAAGUGCUAGUUGAAUAAGCUGGCACCUUGACGGUACCUAACCAGAAAGCCACGGCUAACUACGUGCCAGCAGCCGCGGUAAUACGUAGGUGGCAAGCGUUAUCCGGAAUUAUUGGGCGUAAAGCGCGCGCAGGUGGUUUCUUAAGUCUGAUGUGAAAGCCCACGGCUCAACCGUGGAGGGUCAUUGGAAACUGGGAGACUUGAGUGCAGAAGAGGAAAGUGGAAUUCCAUGUGUAGCGGUGAAAUGCGUAGAGAUAUGGAGGAACACCAGUGGCGAAGGCGACUUUCUGGUCUGUAACUGACACUGAGGCGCGAAAGCGU
rnacentral:rRNA from 1 species